UCCAGCCCUGCCCUGGGAGAUGAUCUCAUUAGCUAAGCAGGACCAGGCCUGGGCCAGUAUUUAUAAGGAGACCUCCCAGGAAAACCAGGGUACGGCAGGGA
rnacentral:rRNA from 1 species